UGCAAGUAGACGGUGAACCCGCCUUCGCGUGGGGAUAGUGGCGAACGGGUGAGUAACACGUGGGCAACCUGCCCUCAGCUCUGGGAUAACUCCAAGAAAUUGGGGCUAAUACUGGAUAUGACCGCUGACCGCAUGGUCUGGUGGUGGAAAGAUUUAUCGGCUGGGGAUGGGCCCGCGGCCUAUCAGCUUGUUGGUGGGGUAGUGGCCUACCAAGGCGACGACGGGUAGCCGGCCUGAGAGGGUGACCGGCCACACUGGGACUGAGACACGGCCCAGACUCCUACGGGAGGCAGCAGUGGGGAAUAUUGCGCAAUGGGCGAAAGCCUGACGCAGCGACGCCGCGUGGGGGAUGACGGCCUUCGGGUUGUAAACCUCUUUCAGCAGGGACGAAGCGAAAGUGACGGUACCUGCAGAAGAAGCACCGGCCAACUACGUGCCAGCAGCC
rnacentral:rRNA from 1 species